CCAUCAUUUAAAGAAAGCGUAAUAGCUCACUGGUCGAGUCGGCCUGCGCGGAAGAUGUAACGGGGCUAAACCAUGCACCGAAGCUGCGGCAGCGACGCUGAUGCGUUGUUGGGUAGGGGAGCGUUCUGUAAGCCUGUGAAGGUGGCCUGUGAGGGUUGCUGGAGGUAUCAGAAGUGCGAAUGCUGACAUAAGUAACGAUA
rnacentral:rRNA from 1 species